GUGAUCACUUCAGCAGAACAUACACUAAAAUUGGAAAAAUACAGAGAAGAUUAGCAUGGACCCUGUGUAAGGAUGACACGCAAAUUCGUGAAUCAUUCCAUAUUUUA
ensembl:snRNA U6 U6 spliceosomal RNA